UGUAUCCUACGGGAGGCAGCAGUGGGGGAUAUUGCACAAUGGAGGAAACUCUGAUGCAGCGACGCCGCGUGAGGGAAGACGGUCUUCGGAUUGUAAACCUCUGUCUUUGGGGAAGAAAAUGACGGUACCUGAAGAAGAAGCCCCGGCUAACUACGUGCCAGCAGCCGCGGUAAUACGUAGGGGGCAAGCGUUAUCCGGAUUUACUGGGUGUAAAGGGGGCGCAGACGGCGAUGCAAGCCAGGAGUGAAAGCCCGGGGCC
rnacentral:rRNA from 1 species